GGCUGCAAUUGAGCCGUUAACCCAUUAAGGCACUCACCCCUUGAUGAGUAAAAUUGUCUGGUGUUAGUCGGAGUAAAAUAAUACAUUAGAGUCAGAUUGGAUUGCAGCUUCUUAACAAGACUCUGGUAGAUAGUUGGUUCACCCAUUAAUGCACAAGACUCGCCUAGACAGCUCUUGAAACUCGCCAUUAUCAGCAUGAUUAUGCAACUUGUCAGAAUACGCUUUGUGAGUAUCAAAUUCAUCAAUUAAAUCAGCAACCAUUAGCAACGCUUUUGUUACGCAUUUGUUUUGAACAUUUUUGCCAACCAGAGAGUUUUCAUUUUUAGGUUGGCAAUUUUUCGCCGACCUGAAACUUCGGUAAAGUAAAAUAAUUAUUAGAGCAGAAUAAUAAAGAUGAGUAAAUUUGGGAGCAUUGCAGUUCAAAUGGGUUAAUAGAUAUAUUUCAAGGGGAGUAGCAAGGAGUUUGUUGUUAUUUGUGUCUGAACUACCUGAAAAAGAUAAUCAAAGGCUGUUGAGGCCAACGACUCACAGAUGAGAUGAAAUGAAAAUGACAGAAAGAAUUAGAGCAGUUGUUUUUGCAAAUGUUGUGCUUCUUUUAUUGCCAAAUCAAAAGAAUGAGCGUGUGCUCCAACCUGAUUUGCCAUUGUUUAGCUGCCCUACAAUCAAGUAACCACAAAGACUCACAGAUGUUGCUUCGCAACAGUUUGAGCCAUCAUAGUUUAUUCUAAAGUACAACCUACAUUGGAAUCCCAUGUUUGAGGCAACAAAGAAUUCCCAAACAAAUAAAAAAAAUAAAAAGUGAAAUCAUAAAGACAGAAUAAAAUAAUAAAGUGGGGCACAUUGGGGUACAGUGGGUCGACAAAGUUUUGGAAAAUACUCCAGUAGUCUUGUUAGUUAGUAAGAUAUGUACACAGUAUAUGUUUUUUUAAGAGUUUUUAAUGCUUGAUACUGACAAGAAUCUACCACAAAUGUGUUUUUAAGGCAGCUAUCUAUGACAGUAUUUAAUUUAAGUACAGUAUGUAAAAGGUGAGCUGCGAAGCUUAGAAUUUGGGGAUAGGAAGAAAGUCAGACAGUAACUGUUUUGGGUGAAUUGAGGGGUUACAGUAAUCACAAGCGAGCUGGCACUGUGCUUCCACUUCAUUGCUUCCAAAAUAAUUUGUCAGUGGUUUCCCUUGUAUUGGGAAAAUUCAAUUAGAAAAAGAGAAAACCUUUAAGUGUUGAAGAGGAGAUUUAGCAGAUUGUUUUCUGAACUUGUAAACAGGCAAGUUGUUUCCAGAGGGCAGUGGUUGUUACUGUGUUACUCAAGGAGGAACCGAUUACAUGUUUACGAGGGCAUUGGUAUUAAGUUUUCAUCAGCUGAGUGAACACAGGAGAGACUUUAUCUUGUUUUGUGUUUAGUUGUUAAAGCUUGUUCUCCAUCUACAGGCUAAGAUGGAAAUGUUUAGGCGACCGAGUAGCCUUGAGGAUUGCUUAGGAUGAUGUGUCUGGAUCUCUUUUCUUUGAGUAUGGAGAUCUUUUGUUGUAAUUUCUUUGCCCACAGGUUUGUGUAAGUAAUUUCUUCCUCCUUAAAUGCUUUCUCUAUGUGGUGAAAGCCUUUGUUUAAGACGUUGAAUGCCUUUGUUCGAGACGUUGAAUGUUCUCAUCCUGCAGUAUGCAAGAGGAAACCAGAGUGAAAUUCUCCUGAUGAUUUCCUCUUCUCAAUGAGGAAACCAUGAGUGAAAUUCUUAGUGUUGCUCCUUGUACUGUAUUGCUCGAAACGUCAAUGAAAAACUUCAUUUGAUUUGAUUUCAAUAUCUACACAUAAUGUUUGCUUGAAGUGUUGUGUGUUGAAAUUAUAAUCACUGGAUAUCUUCCUGGUCACAUUAAGUCUUGCUCAAAAAAUACUCAAUUGCUUUGCUUGAAACGUCUCCCUUAAACUUUGGUUUUCCAGAAAGGACAUUUUCUUGCUCCUGACAAUAGCAUUGGCAUAUAUCCUUGAUGCAGAGGUCCUUUGUUCAAAUGUCUAAGUGUUUAUUACUUCAUCAGGUAGUUCAGACCCAAACCAUGGCAUUUUAUUAUUGCUUGCUUUCUUUGAGAGCACUACUGAGGAAACAAUGCCAAAUGAAUUUACCAAAAUAUUGAAGAAAAAAAAGUGCUAAAAGAUCACAAUAUGAAUUUCCAUGGCAUAUUAGGAAUUUAAAAAAAUGACUUUUUAAGUCAGUUCAAUCAGUUGCAUAUUAAUACUGUAUAAACAAGACAAAGAUAUUAACUGUGACAGUAAUGGUAAGUUAAGUUGGAACUAAUCUUUACUACCG
rnacentral:lncRNA from 1 species